rnacentral:misc_RNA from 1 species
AAGACUAUAGACCUGCGGAGUACCUGCGGAGGGAUCAUUAUCGUAUUGUAACAAUUGGGGGGGCCACCGUGGGCUGUCGCUGACCCUUUGAAAGGGGGGUCGUGCACGCCCCCAUAGUGUCAUCCUCAUACAAUCCAACUCACCUCUGAGCAUCACCGCGUGGGUUCCUUUCUGGGUCGAGUCAGACUGGCUCAGAAAAAAGGGGCUUGCGUUUUCCAUACAAAUGCCCUUAUAAAUCCA